UACGGAGGGUGCAAGCGUUAUCCGGAUUCACUGGGUUUAAAGGGUGCGUAGGAGGGCGGAUAAGUCAGUGGUGAAAUCUUCGAGCUUAACUCGGAAACUGCCGUUGAUACUAUUUGUCUUGAAUAUCGUGGAGGUGAGCGGAAUAUGUCAUGUAGCGGUGAAAUGCUUAGAUAUGACAUAGAACACCAAUGGCGAAGGCAGCUCGCUACACGAAUAUUGACGCUGAGGCACGAAAGCGUGGGGAGCAAACAGG
rnacentral:rRNA from 1 species